UUUGAUAAUCUUGAGAGCAAAUGUUGCC
rnacentral:sRNA from 1 species